rnacentral:rRNA from 1 species
AUUGAACGCUGGCGGCAUGCCUUACACAUGCAAGUCGAACGGUAACAGGUCUUCGGAUGCUGACGAGUGGCGAACGGGUGAGUAAUACAUCGGAACGUGCCUAGUAGUGGGGGAUAACUACUCGAAAGAGUGGCUAAUACCGCAUGAGAUCUACGGAUGAAAGCGGGGGAUCGCAAGACCUUGUGCUACUAGAGCGGCCGAUGGCAGAUUAGGUAGUUGGUGGGAUAAAAGCUUACCAAGCCGACGAUCUGUAGCUGGUCUGAGAGGACGAUCAGCCACACUGGGACUGAGACACGGCCCAGACUCCUACGGGAGGCAGCAGUGGGGAAUUUUGGACAAUGGGCGCAAGCCUGGUCCAGCAAUGCCGCGUGCAGGAUGAAGGCAUUCGGGUGGUAAACUGCUUUUGUACGGAACGAAAAGCCCUGGGUUAAUACCCUGGGGUCAUGACGGUACCGUAAGAAUAAGCACCGGCUAACUACGUGCCAGCAGCCGCCGUAACAC